GACGAACGCUGGCGGCGUGCUUAACACAUGCAAGUCGAACGGAAAGGCCCUGCUUUUGUGGGGUGCUCGAGUGGCGAACGGGUGCGUAACACGUGAGUAACCUGCCCUUGACUUUGGGAUAACUUCAGGAAACUGGGGCUAAUACCGGAUAGGAGCUCCUGCUGCCUGGUGGGGGUUGGAAAGCUUCGGCGGUUGGGGAUGGACUCGCGGCUUAUCUGCUUGUUGGUGGGGUAGUGGCUUACCAAGGCUUUGACGGGUAGCCGGCCUGAGAGGGUGACCGGACACAUUGGGACUGAGAUACGGCCCAGACUCCUACGGGAGGCAGCAGUGGGGAAUAUUGCACAAUGGGCGGCAGCCUGAUGCAGCAACGCCGCGUGCGUGAUGACGGCCUUCGGGUUGUAAACCGCUUUCGCCUGUGACGAAGCGUGAGUGACGGUAAUGGGUAAAGAAGCACCGGCUAACUACGUG
rnacentral:rRNA from 1 species